rnacentral:rRNA from 1 species
AUUGAACGCUGGCGGCAGGCCUAACACAUGCAAGUCGAGCGGAUGAAGGGAGCUUGCUCCUGGAUUCAGCGGCGGACGGGUGAGUAAUGCCUAGGAAUCUGCCUGGUAGUGGGGGAUAACGUCCGGAAACGGGCGCUAAUACCGCAUACGUCCUGAGGGAGAAAGUGGGGGAUCUUCGGACCUCACGCUAUCAGAUGAGCCUAGGUCGGAUUAGCUAGUUGGUGGGGUAAGGGCCUACCAAGGCGACGAUCCGUAACUGGUCUGAGAGGAUGAUCAGUCACACUGGAACUAGGACACGGUCCAGACUCCUACGGGAGGCAGCAGUGGGGAAUAUUGGACAAUGGGCGAAAGCCUGAUCCAGCCAUGCCGCGUGUGUGAAGAAGGUCUUCGGAUUGUAAAGCACUUUAAGUUGGGAGGAAGGGCAGUAAGUUAAUACCUUGCUGUUUUGACGUUACCAACAGAAUAAGCACCGGCUAACUUCGUG